CACCGCGGUUAUACGAGAGGCCCCAGUUGAUAGACACGGCGUAAAGGGUGGUUAAGGAAAACGAAAUUAAAGCCAAAGGACCUCUUGGCCGUCAUACGCUUCUGAGUGCCCGAAGCCCAAACACGAAAGUAGCUUUAAUACAAGCCCACCUGACCCCACGAAAGCUGAGAAA
rnacentral:rRNA from 1 species